CGUUCCAUGACCGAAUUGGUCAAGGCAUUGCCGAUUGUAGACCGAGAUGCGGGUUCGAGUCCCGCUGGAAUGG
rnacentral:tRNA from 1 species